AGCGAACGCUGGCGGCAGGCCUAACACAUGCAAGUCGAACGAACCUUUCGGGGUUAGUGGCGGACGGGUGAGUAACACGUGGGAACGUGCCUUUAGGUUCGGUAUAACUCAGGGAAACUUGUGCUAAUACCGAAUGUGCCCUUCGGGGGAAAGAUUAAUCGCCUUUAGAGCGGCCCGCGUCUGAUUAGCUAGUUGGUUGAGGUAAUGGCUCACCAAGGCGACGAUCAGUAGCUGGUCUGAGAGGAUGAUCAGCCACAUUGGGACUGAGACACGGCCCAAACUCCUACGGGAGGCAGCAGUGGGGAAUCUUGCGCAAUGGGCGAAAGCCUGACGCAGCCAUGCCGCGUGAAUGAUGAAGGUCUUAGGAUUGUAAAAUUCUUUCACCGGGGACGAUAAUGACGGUACCCGGAGAAGAAGCCCCGGCUAACUUCGUG
rnacentral:rRNA from 1 species